rnacentral:SRP_RNA from 1 species
GCUGGGUGUGGUAGUGCACGCCUGUAAUCCCAGCUACUCGGGAAGCUGAGGCAGGAGACUCCCUUGAACCCAGGAAGCAGAGGUUGCAGUGAGCCAAGAUCGUGCCACUGCAGUCCAGCCUGAGUAACAGAGUAAGACUCUGUCUCAA